UAGUAAGUGCUUGGUCCCAUUCUUUCCCCUGCCCCCAAAUGUAAGGGGCUGCCUCAUCAGAGGGGGAGUUCCUUGUCACUGGAGGGGAGUGAGGGGUUGAAGGUGAGGUUGUAUCUGUCAGAAGUGAUAUGGAGGGAUUCCUGCCUGAACUGGGAGGUUAGAAAUGCUAUAUGAUUCCUCAGAUCCCCUCCCCAACAGCCUCCAGCUUUCUGAUUCUGCGCCUCUAUGGGAAGAUGAUCAAAAGAGCAGGAUGCUUGCUCACUGAUAGCUCAAAGAAUCCCCAGGGUCUAACAGGGGAACUUGGCUUCUUGGGGAAAAACUUGAGUGAGAAUCUGAGCUGGAAAGAACACAGCCCGAGUCUGUAGCACCCACACGUGAGCCUGGGAAGAAUAUACUCCUGCUUUACAGCUUGCUUCAUCCUGCACACAAGGACACAUGGGAUGAGAAAAAACAAAGGACCCAGCCCUUUUUUGGGACAUCCAUGGACCGCUAAGCACAAUGGGGAGUGGAGUAGGGGUGGAGGAGAGCUGGGGCCCAUGCGGUGCCCUUGAAAGAGUGGCCUCUGUGGAAAAGGGAGGAAUCCCAUUGCCUGAGCCAUCCAAGAACCUGCUGAAGGACCUUCUAAUGUUAGAAGAGGCAUAGGGACCGUUGGCCUGCUUUCUUCAGGCAUUUCAAGGGUUGCCAUGGGGAGUAAAUCAAUAAAUAAUUAAUAGAUAGCUGAUGUGUGUAUACAAAGCACUGUAUAGAUGGAAUCUCAUUUGAAGAGAUAGCAGGCUUAUUCUACCUGGCCACAGAAGGCAGAACUACAAGGUGGGAGAGAGGCAGUUUUAAAUUCCACCCAAGGAAAAUCAUCCCAACAAUCAGAUCUUAUAAGGAAGGGGACUGGCCACCUCAAGAGCCUGUGGCUUCUCUAAAACUGGCCCACUUCUCAGGGAUAUUAGAAAAGGAUUCCUGCUUAGACAUUGGAAAUUCUCUUCUCCUGCUGACAGCCUGUGCCAUCGAGUCUGCAGAGGGCUGGGGCCCU